GAUGAACGCUGGCGGCGUGCCUAAUACAUGCAAGUCGAGCGAACGGACGAGAAGCUUGCUUCUCUGAUGUUAGCGGCGGACGGGUGAGUAACACGUGGAUAACCUACCUAUAAGACUGGGAUAACUUCGGGAAACCGGAGCUAAUACCGGAUAAUAUUUUGAACCGCAUGGUUCAAAAGUGAAAGACGGUCUUGCUGUCACUUAUAGAUGGAUCCGCGCUGCAUUAACUAGUUGGUAAGGUAACGGCUUACCAAGGCAACGAUGCAUAGCCGACCUGAGAGGGUGAUCGGCCACACUGGAACUGAGACACGGUCCAGACUCCUACGGGAGGCAGCAGUAGGGAAUCUUCCGCAAUGGGCGAAAGCCUGACGGAGCAACGCCGCGUGAGUGAUGAAGGUCUUCGGAUCGUAAACUCUGUUAUUAGGGAAGAACAUAUGUGUAAGUAACUGUGCACAUCUUGACGGUACCUAAUCAGAAAGCCACGGCUAACUACGUG
rnacentral:rRNA from 1 species